rnacentral:lncRNA from 1 species
GUCGCUUGAGAUGGGAGUGGCAGGGCGCUGGAUGGCCGAACGAAGACUGUCGGGGAAUAAGAGGCCUUCAACAUGCGAGAAGCAGAAACCAAUACGGAUCAACAUUCCCUACGGAUAUUCCAUAAGACUGAUUCAUAUUCAUAUUCCUGUAUUUCCUCAGUCCCUCCAAUAUUGCCUGGGAACUUCUGGUAACAGCAAACGGAGGCCCCAUAUGAAAAAAAACAGGAAAAGGUUUUGUCACAAUGGAAAAUACAUGCAGAGUAAAAGGGUAAGAUAUUUCUGAAGGAAAUCAGAAAAGCCCCAAAUCGAGACUUGAUUCUUAUUACUCAUAAGAGAAGACUGAAGCUUUAACAAUUAAUCUGCUUAGAACUGCAAUGUAAACUGCACGCAGCUAUUACCUGAUUUUUAUUUCCACUACUUUUCUUCCAU